CUCAAGGUUGACCUCAGAUCAGGUAGGAAUACCCGCUGAACUUAAGCAUAUCAAUAAGCCGGAGGAAAAGAAACCAACAGGGAUUGCCCUAGUAACGGCGAGUGAAGCGGCAACAGCUCAAAUUUGAAAUCUGGCCUCACGGUCCGAAUUGUAAUUUGUAGAGGAUGUUUCUGGCGACGUGUCUUCCGAGUUCCCUGGAACGGGACGCCAUAGAGGGUGAGAGCCCCGUCCGGUCGUACACCUAGCCUCUGUGAAACUCCUUCGACGAGUCGAGUAGUUUGGGAAUGCUGCUCUAAAUGGGAGGUAUACGUCUUCUAAAGCUAAAUACCGGCCAGAGACCGAUAGCGCACAAGUAGAGUGAUCGAAAGAUGAAAAGCACUUUGAAAAGAGGGUUAAAUAGUACGUGAAAUUGCUGAAAGGGAAGCGCUUAUGACCAGACUUGGGCUCGGUGAAUCAUCCGGCGUUCUCGCCGGUGCACUUUGCCGUCCCAGGCCAGCAUCAGUUCGCGCCGGGGGAUAAAGGUUUCGGGAAUGUAGCUCCCUCGGGAGUGUUAUAGCCCGUUGCGUAAUACCCUGGCGUGGACUGAGGUCCGCGCUCUGCAAGGAUGCUGGCGUAAUGGUCAUCAGUGACCCGUCUUGAAACACGGACCAAGGAGUCGUCUUCGUAUGCGAGUGUUCGGGUGUCAAACCCCUACGCGUAAUGAAAGUGAACGUAGGAGAGAGCUUCGGCGCAUCUCCGACCGAUCCUGAUGUUCUCGGAUGGAUUUGAGUAAGAGCAUACGGGGCCGGACCCGAAAGAAGGUGAACUAUGCCUGUAUAGGGUGAAGCCAGAGGAAACUCUGGUGGAGGCUCGCAGCGGUUCUGACGUGCAAAUCGAUCGUC
rnacentral:rRNA from 1 species